UGGGGGAAUAUUGCACAAUGGGCGAAAGCCUGAUGCAGCGACGCCGCGUGAGCGAAGAAGUAUUUCGGUAUGUAAAGCUCUAUCAGCAGGGAAGAUAAUGACGGUACCUGACUAAGAAGCACCGGCUAAAUACGUGCCAGCAGCCGCGGUAAUACGUAUGGUGCAAGCGUUAUCCGGAUUUACUGGGUGUAAAGGGAGCGCAGGCGGUACGGCAAAGUCUGAUGUGAAAGCCCGGGGCUCAACCCCGGUACUGCAUUGGAAACUGUCGAACUAGAGUGUCGGAGGGGUAAGUGGAAUUCCUAGUGUAGCGGUGAAAUGCGUAGAUAUUAGGAGGAACACCAGUGGCGAAGGCGGCUUACUGGACGAUAACUGACGCUGAGGCUCGAAAGCGUGGGGGAGCAAACAGGGAUUAGAUACCCUGGGUA
rnacentral:rRNA from 1 species